GCCAUGCCGCGUGAAUGAUGAAGGUCUUAGGAUUGUAAAAUUCUUUUAGCAGGGACGAUAAUGACGGUACCUGCAUAAAAAGCCCCGGCUAACUUCGUGCCAGCAGCCGCGGUAAUACUAAGGGGGCUAGCGUUGCUCGGAAUUACUGGGCGUAAAGGGAGCGUAAGCUGGUUAUCAAGUUGGAGGUGAAAGCCCAGGGCUCAACCUUGGAAUUGCCUUCCAAACUGAUAAUCUUGAGUAUGGGAGAGGUAAGCGGAACUCCGAGUGUAGAGGUGAAAUUCGUAUAUAUUCGGAAGAACACCAGUGGCGAAUGCGGCUUACUGGCCCAUUACUGACGCUGAGGCUCGAAAGCGUGGGGAGCAAACAGGAUUAAAUACCCUGGUAGUCCACGCUGUAAACGAUGAUGGCUAGUUGUCGGGCAGUAUACUGUUCGGUGACGCAGCUCACGCAUUAAGCAAUCCGCCUGGGGAGUACGGUCGCAUGAUUAAAACUCAAAGGAAUUGACGGGGGCCCGCACAAGCGGUGGAGCAUGUGGUUUAAUUCAAAGCAACGCGCAGAACCUUACCACCUUUUGACAUGUCCGGCUAUCCCGAGAGAUUUGGAGUUCCCUUCGGGGACCAGAACACAGG
rnacentral:rRNA from 1 species